rnacentral:tRNA from 1 species
GGGUGUAGUUCAGUGGUAGAGCACUUGCCCAGCAUGCAGAAGGCCCUGGGUUCAAUCCCCAGUGCCACA